AAACUAACAAGGAUUCCCCUAGUAGCGGCGAGCGAAGCGGGAAGAGCUCAAAUUUGUAAUCUGGCGCUUUCAGCGUCCGAGUUGUAAUCUCUAGAAAUGUUUUCCGCGUUGCACCGCACACAAGUCUGUUGGAAUACAGCGGCACAGUGGUGAGACCCCCGUUCAUGGUGCGGAUGCGCAAUGCUUUGUGAUACAUUUUCGAAGAGUCGAGUUGUUUGGGAAUGCAGCUCAAAUUGGGUGGUAAAUUCCAUCUAAAGCUAAAUAUUGGCGAGAGACCGAUAGCGAACAAGUACCGUGAGGGAAAGAUGAAAAGCACUUUGGGAAAGAGAGUUAACAGUACGUGAAAUUGUUGGAAGGGAAACGCUUGAAGUCAGACUUGCUGUUCGGAGUUCAGCCGCAAGGGUGUACUCUCCGAGUUGCAGGCCAGCAUCAGUUUUUCGGGGUGGAAAAUCACGGUUUGAAGGUAGCAGUUUCGGCUGUGUUAUAGCUUUCCGUUGGAUACAUCCUGGGGGACUGAGGAACGCAGUGUGCUUUUAGCAGGGGUUUCGACCUCUUCACACUUAGGAUGCUGGUGGAAUGGCUUUAAACGAC
rnacentral:rRNA from 1 species